GACGAACGCUGGCGGCGUGCUUAACACAUGCAAGUCGAACGCUGAAGCUUGGUGCUUGCACUGGGUGGAUGAGUGGCGAACGGGUGAGUAAUACGUGAGUAACCUGCCCUUGACUCUGGGAUAAGCCUGGGAAACUGGGUCUAAUACUGGAUAUGACAUGCCACUGCAUGGUGGUGUGUGGAAAGGGUUUUACUGGUUUUGGAUGGGCUCACGGCCUAUCAGCUUGUUGGUGGGGUAAUGGCCUACCAAGGCGACGACGGGUAGCCGGCCUGAGAGGGUGACCGGCCACACUGGGACUGCGACACGGCCCAGACUCCUACGGGAGGCAGCAGUGGGGAAUAUUGCACAAUGGGCGGAAGCCUGAUGCAGCGACGCCGCGUGAGGGAUGACGGCCUUCGGGUUGUAAACCUCUUUCAGCACGGAAGAAGCGAGAGUGACGGUACGUGCAGAAGAAGCGCCGGCUAACUACGUG
rnacentral:rRNA from 1 species